AGGACGAACGCUGGCGGCGUGCUUAACACAUGCAAGUCGAGCGGUAAGGCCCUUUCGGGGGUACACGAGCGGCGAACGGGUGAGUAACACGUGAGCAAUCUGCCCUUCACCUCGGGAUAAGCCUCGGAAACGGGGUCUAAUACCGGAUAUGACCGCGCUACGCAUGUGGUGUGGUGGAAAGUUCUGGCGGUGGAGGAUGAGCUCGCGGCCUAUCAGCUUGUUGGUGGGGUAAUGGCCUACCAAGGCUUCGACGGGUAGCCGGCCUGAGAGGGUGACCGGCCACACUGGGACUGAGACACGGCCCGAUCCCGUACGGGAGGCAGCGAGUGGGAAGUAGUUGGACAAGUAGGGCGGAAAGCUGAUCCAGCAACGCCGCGUGAGGGAGUGACGGCCGUUCGGUUACGGUAACCUCGUUUCAGCCGCCGACGAA
rnacentral:rRNA from 1 species